rnacentral:ncRNA from 2 species
AUAUUGUAUGUCGUUUUAGGUGCCUUGUAUUUACAAGGAUAAUAGGGAAAGUGGUUAAAAUCCACUACAGCCCCCGCUACUGUAUACGGAGACGAAUCUUUAUAAACCACUGGCUAUUAUGAAAGCUGGGAAGGAAAGAGGAGGAUGAAACGUGAGUCAGGAAACCUGCCUAAAAGGAGAGCUACAC